rnacentral:rRNA from 1 species
GACGAACUUUGGCGGCGUGCUUAACACAUGCAAGUCGAACGGAAAGGCCCUGCUUUUGUGGGGUGCUCGAGUGGCGAACGGGUGAGUAACACGUGAGUAACCUGCCCUUGACUUUGGGAUAACUUCAGGAAACUGGGGCUAAUACCGGAUAGGAGCUCCUGCCGCAUGGUGGGGGUUGGAAAGUUUCGGCGGUUGGGGAUGGACUCGCGGCUUAUCAGCUUGUUGGUGGGGUAGUGGCUUACCAAGGCUUUGACGGGUAGCCGGCCUGAGAGGGUGACCGGCCACAUUGGGACUGAGAUACGGCCCAGACUCCUACGGGAGGCAGCAGUGGGGAAUAUUGCACAAUGGGCGGAAGCCUGAUGCAGCAACGCCGCGUGCGGGAUGACGGCCUUCGGGUUGUAAACCGCUUUCGCCUGUGACGAAGCGUGAGUGACGGUAAUGGGUAAAGAAGCACCGGCUAACUACGUGCCAGCAGCCGCGGUGAUACGUAGGGUGCGAGCGUUGUCCGGAUUUAUUGGGCGUAAAGGGCUCGUAGGGUGGUUGAUCGCGUCGGAAGUGUAAUCUUGGGGCUUAACCCUGAGCGUGCUUUCGAUACGGGUUGACUUGAGGAAGGUAGGGGAGAAUGGAAUUCCUGGUGGAGCGGUGGAAUGCGCAGAUAUCAGGAGGAACACCAGUGGCGAAGGCGGUUCUCUGGGCCUUUCCUGACGCUGAGGAGCGAAAGCGUGGGGAGCGAACAGGCUUAGAUACCCUGGUAGUCCACGCUGUAAACGGUGGGUACUAGGUGUGGGGUCCAUUCCACGGGUUCCGUGCCGUAGCUAACGCUUUAAGUACCCCGCCUGGGGAGUACGGCCGCAAGGCUAAAACUCAAAGGAAUUGACGGGGCCCCGCACAAGCGGCGGAGCAUGCGGAUUAAUUCGAUGCAACGCGUAGAACCUUACCUGGGUUUGACAUGGAUCGGGAGUGCUCAGAGAUGGGUGUGCCUCUUUUGGGGUCGGUUCACAGGUGGUGCAUGCCUGUCGUCAGCUCGUGUCGUGAGAUGUUGGGUUAAGUCCCGCAACGAGCGCAACCCUUGUUCACUGUUGCCAGCACGUUAUGGUGGGGACUCAGUGGAGACCGCCGGGGUCAACUCGGAGGAAGGUGGGGAUGACGUCAAGUCCUCAUGCCCCUUAUGUCCAGGGCUUCACGCAUGCUACAAUGGCUGGUACAGAGAGUGGCGAGCCUGUGAGGGUGAGCGAAUCUCGGAAAGCCGGUCUCAGUUCGGAUUGGGGUCUGCAACUCGACCUCAUGAAGUCGGAGUCGCUAGUAAUCGCAGAUCAGCAACGCUGCGGUGAAUACGUUCCCGGGGCU